GAGAGGUGUUAACUGAGUUGAGCGUUAAAGAAUGGGUGGCAGUUUUGCAGGAGUGAAAGCAGAAGCUCAGAGAACCUGGUGUGUUUGAGAGGAAGGUGAAAGGAUUUUUAAUGCACCUGUGAGCCAAUUUUUGGUUUCUGAAGAGGAGGAAGGAUGCAGAGUAAAAGGAAAUGUAAAAGUGUUGUACACCAGCUCUCAGUAACCUUAGAAGAUUUAUAUGAUGCUGCAACAAGAAAACAGGCUCUGCAAAAUAAUGUGCUUUGUGACAGGUGUGAAGACAGAGGUGGGGAAAAAAAAAAGGAACAGUACAGUGCUGUCAUAAUUGCCAAGGUAUUGGAAUGCAAAUAAGAAUUCAUCAGAUAGAACCCGGAAUAGCUCAGCAAAUUCAAGCUGUGUGCAUGGAGACCCAGGGCCAUGGGGAACAGAUCAGUCCUCAAGAUAGAUGUAAAAGCUGCAACAGAAAGAAGAUAGUUUUGGGAGAAGACGAUUCUAGAAAUUCAUAUUGACAAAAGCAUGAAAGAUGGCCAGAAAAUAACAUCUCAUGAUGAAAGAGACCAAAAACCAGGACUGGAGCCAGGAGAUAUUAUCAUUGCAUUAGAUCAGAAGGACCAUGCUGUUUUUACUUGACAAAGAAAAGACCUUUUCAUAUGUAUGGAUAUACAGCUGGUUGUAGUAUUGCAUGGCUUCUGAAAACCAAUAUCCACUCUUGACAACUGAACCAUAGUCAUCAUCUCUCAUCCAGGUCAAACUGUCAAGCAUGGAGCCAUCAAGCAUGUGUUAAAUGAAGGCAGGCCAAUUUAUUGUAGACCACAUGAAGAGUCACUUAAUCAUUGAAUUUAAGGUAAACUUUCUUGAUAAUGGCUUUCCCUUUUUUGACAAACUCCUUGCUGGAAAAACUCCUACAAAAGAGUAAAGAAGUAGAAGAGACUGAUGAGAUGAAUCAAGUAGAAUUUGUGGACUUUGAUUCAAAUCAGGAAAGAUGAUGCUGAUGCCACUACAGUGCAGAAGCAAAUGUGGGACCAUUACAAUGGAAAAGCAUGAGGAUGAUAAACAUCAUUUCAGAGGUGUUCAGUGUCAAACAUCUUAAUGGGACCAGUGAUAAUACUCGCUGCUGGCAUUUUAUGGGCAGUAGUGAAUGAGCAAAGGACUGUAAUCCUAAUAUGCUCACUACUUGCUAUUGUUUUGGUUUUACUAUUCAACUAGAGUAGUGUUUUAAAAAUUAAAGGAAGAAUAAAUACAAUUUUUUUAAAAGUUGACAAGGAUGAGCAUGGCCAACAAACCUCUCUCCACUUUGGCAACAAAUAGUUUUAAAUUUGGUUUCCAGAGUAAGUUAAUAGAAGGUAUAACACAGAGAACCAGAAAUACAAAGUGCUCUAUUAGUGAGAUAUCAGAAGUGAUUAUUGCUGAUUAUUAUCUGAUAUUUUAUAAAACAAUCUCUUUUGAGAUAUUAAAUAUAUACUGAGAUUCAUAAAACGGUAGAUACCUAAAUUAUCUCAUUUAGUAAAUCAGUGGGGCUAUUUAAUCCAGAUAAUUUAAACCCUAAGAAUAAUUUUAUUUUCCAGUAGAUUGACUUUUACUUAUUUUAUUUAUUUUCUUUUACAUAAACUCAGAGGGAAUUACACUUUUUAAGACCAUGUCAUUUAAUAUUUCCAGUUUUAAAGAGAAAUAGAGUAUUUGGCAUAAUGAAUGCCUAUUUUACUAUUUGUCUUUAUGUCAUAUGUAAUUUUUCCUCUUAAAUUUUAUUUUAAAUGUGUUUCAAAGUCCAAUAAAGGGAACACUAAU
rnacentral:lncRNA from 1 species